rnacentral:rRNA from 1 species
AGUGAACGCUGGCGGUAGGCCUAACACAUGCAAGUCGAACGGCAGCACAGUAAGAGCUUGCUCUUACGGGUGGCGAGUGGCGGACGGGUGAGGAAUACAUCGGAAUCUACUUUUUCGUGGGGGAUAACGUAGGGAAACUUACGCUAAUACCGCAUACGACCUACGGGUGAAAGCAGGGGAUCUUCGGACCUUGCGCGAUUGAAUGAGCCGAUGUCGGAUUAGCUAGUUGGCGGGGUAAAGGCCCACCAAGGCGACGAUCCGUAGCUGGUCUGAGAGGAUGAUCAGCCACACUGGAACUGAGACACGGGCCAGACUCCUACGGGAGGCAGCAGUGGGGAAUAUUGGACCAUGGGCGCAAGCCUGAUCCAAGCAUAACGCGUGGGUGAAGAAGGCCUUCGGGUUGUAAAACCCUUUUGUUGGGAAAGAAAAGCAGGCGGUUAAUAACCCGCUGUUCUGACGGUACCCAAAGAAUAAGCAACGGCUAACUUCGUG